rnacentral:rRNA from 1 species
AUUGAACGCUGGCGGCAGGCCUAACACAUGCAAGUCGAGCGGCGAGGGGGACGGGUGAGUACUGCCUAGGAAUCAGCACGGUCGUGAGGUACACCGUCCAGAAACGGGAGCUUAUAACGCAGACUAUCAGAUGAGCCUCGGUUGGCUUAGAUAGUUGGUGGGGUAAAGGCCUACCAAGGCGACGAUCCGUAACUGGACUGAGAGGAUGAUCAGCCACACUGGAACGGAGACACGGUCCAGACUCCUACGGGAGGCAGCAGUUGGGAAUAUUGGACAAUGGACGAAAGCCUGAUCCAGCCAUGCCGCGUGUGUGAAGAAGGUCUUCGGAUUGUAAAGCACUUUAAGUUGGGAGGCGUUACCAACAGAAUAAGCACCGGCUAACUUCGUGCCAGCAGCCGCGGUAAUUC